rnacentral:tRNA from 1 species
GAAUAUAGUUCAAAGGUAGAAUAACGGUCUCCAAAACCGCUGAUGUGGGUUCGAUUCCUACUAUUC